CACACGGCCACGCCCCCGCUCCUGCCCCCGUCCCGUGCGUCCCUCUCCGCGCCCACAGCCCCUGCUUCCAUCCUAGCCCCCGCCGCCGCGACGACGCUGGUGGCGUCCUCCCCGCGCCCGUGACCCCGCCCUCGUCCUCGUCAAUCCGCUCCACCAGCAAGUAAAAAAAGCGGCGUCCCAAUCCCACAGUGCUUCCACCUCGACCGCCUAUCGGGCUCCCACGCCCAUCCCCACUACCUCGUGAUCCCCGGCGACGCUGCGGCGCCUCGCGCGGCCAUACCCCCGCUCCACCCCGAUCCCGCGACCAGCCAGCGCAAGCUCAACCACGCCCCUGCCCAGCCCCGCGCAUGCCCGCCGCGACAAGCGCACUUCCUCAGGUGAGACGCUCGCUGGUUCCUCGGUGGCAAUGGAAAGCACGCCGCAUUCCAGACAUCGUCACCAGUUCCUCGAUGGAAAGCACGCAUCCCGUCAUUCUCGGGGCCCCGAUCGGCCUCCACAAUCCUGACAUCCUCGCCCCGCCAUCCUCGUCCCCGAGCCAGGCAUCUUUCUUACCAUCCGAGAUCUUCAAUCAGCCCAAAUUGAUGGGUCCUUAAAUUAUGUUGCUUCAAUCACCUUCCAUCCCAAUGCCGAUACCUACCAUCGAUGAGGAUGCCGGUCCUUAAAGAUGACCAGUGCGACCUCGAUGCCACCAGCCCACAACCCCCAUCCUCCCCGGUGCUCUCACAGGAAGACGGUACAGGCCAGCUUUAACUAUCUGCAUCUUCUCCGACGCACUCAACACCGCUCUACUGUUCAUUUGUAUGAGGAUCUGGAUCGUGAAGAGAUGGUUUUCCUAAUCAUGUUCAAUACAGCAUGCAUCCGAUCAAACAUCUUGAUGCUUAACUGUGAUCACAUAGACAUGUUAUGGAAUGGAAAAUACCAAUUCCCUAAAGAUUUUCGGUUUGAGUCCCAUCACAAGUCUCUGUCCGUAUGGAAAUAAUUGGACGCCCCUAAAUUCAACUUUUGCCACGCCUUUUUUUAGCACGGAACGGGGCAGGUGGAGCCGUGGAGGCGUGGAGCCAGGUAGAGGAGCAGACGGGGUUCCAAACUUUGAUACUUUUAUCGAUUUGCUCAACUAGCAAUCUCUAUAACAUCUCGAGACUCCUGUCAGUGUGGUGCAGAUCUUCUACGAUGGUGUUGGCGUCGAUUUGAAUGUCAAUCACUGGAGAUGAACCGUCUGGCGAUGCUAUCUACGGGAGCGAGGACGGUCCGCGGCUCUGUGUCGAACGGUCCACGGCCUCAACGCAGGAGCGACUCCUUCCUUGUGUGCUUCCGAACGGUCCGCGCCUGGGAGGGACCAUGUCGGGGAGGAGAGUUUUAGGGAUUGUCUGAGGGUCGGCAGGCUGCCCAAGACGUCUCUAGUUGACGCAGAGUCGAACAACAAUGAAGAAAUAGGUCGAGGGAGACAAAUACUAGGGCUAGGCUAAGGCUAGAUUACUCUCACUCCUAAUGAAUGGAAAGAAAAGUGCAAAUAAGGUAAAUUGAUAAGUAGAUUUGAUUG